rnacentral:rRNA from 1 species
UACGAAGGUCCCAAGCGUUAUCCGGAUUUAUUGGGUUUAAAGGGUGCGUAGGCGGGUUAUUAAGUCAGUGGUGAAAGCUCCCGGCUCAACCGGGAAAUUGCCAUUGAUACUGAUGACCUUGAGUGUGGUUGAGGUGGGCGGAAUGUGUCAUGUAGCGGUGAAAUGCUUAGAGAUUACAUGGAAUACCAAUUGCGAAGGCAGGUUACUACUAAUGGAUUGACGCUGAUGGACGAAAGCGUGGGUAGCGAACAGG